CUCUGCGGAAGUUGGCGCUUU
rnacentral:miRNA from 1 species